CGUGAAUUCGUGAUAAUAACUUACUAAAUCUUAAAUGAGAUAUAUGACCAUCGUUAAAGGCAAAAUUAUUAAACGCGGGAUUUGUUAAAAAAACAAAAUUUUACUAAACAUUUAAAAUGAGGCUCAACCGCUCAACUUAUUCUAAAUUCAAUCUCUCUCCUAAAAUUGCUCAGUCUUAGUUUCAUACUUUCAUUAACACAAUUUCCAUUUCAUGGAUUUUGAAUCUCAAUCUUCCUCCCCAAGUUCACUCUCUCACGAUUGAAGAAAAUAUUUUCGGAUUAGUCACGAAGUAAAAUUAUCGAUGCUAUUAUCCUUUUUUAUUUGGGAUUCACGUUUCGAUAAGGAGGCGGACAAAUGAUGUAUUAUUGGCGAUCAAUGGUUUCAACGAUAAAUUUGCCUAAAUUGCAAUUGGUGUCUUUGACUAUCUGACUCACAUAUGUAGUUACCAGCCAGCCAUAAGAGGAAGAUGCAAUCAUCCAGCCGUAUGUGUCAACAACAGGAAAGAGGAUAGUAGAUUGCAGCGCCUAAUGAGUUAACUGAAGCUUUUAGAUGCAAGUUGUGUAUAGUACUUAUAUAUGUAUAUAUACCCCCUAUAUGAGGAGUAGGUAGUGGGACAAUAUACACACUGUAUAGUUCUUGCUUAGCUUGGAUAUAACAUGGUGUAAUUUAAAGUUUUGUAUUUGUAAGUUACAACUGAUUAUCAAUUUGAUGAUUUUUAUAUUAA